UACGUAGGGUGCGAGCGUUGUCCGGAAUUAUUGGGCGUAAAGAGCUGUAGGCGGUCUGUCGCGUCUGCUGUGAAAAAUCCGGGGCUCAACCCCGGACUUGCAGUGGGUACGGGCAGACUAGAGUGUGGUAGGGGAGACUGGAAUUCCUGGUGUAGCGGUGAAAUGCGCAGAUAUCAGGAGGAACACCGAUGGCGAAGGCAGGUCUCUGGGCCACUACUGACGCUGAGAAGCGAAAGCAUGGGGAGCGAACAGG
rnacentral:rRNA from 1 species